AUCGCUUCUCGGCCUUUUGGCUAAGAUCAAGUGUAGUAUCUGUUCUUAUCAGUUUAAUAUCUGAUACGUCUCCGACCCGGGGACCAUAUAUUACAUUGAUUUCUGGAGCAGGGAGAUGGAGAUGGGCUUGCUCCGUCCACUCCACGCAUCGACCCGGUAUUGCAGUACUUCCGGGAACGGUGCACCCCCU